rnacentral:rRNA from 1 species
UACGUAGGGGGCUAGCGUUGUCCGGAAUCAUUGGGCGUAAAGAGCGUGUAGGCGGCCAAGCAGGUCCGUUGUGAAAACUGGAGGCUUAACCUCCAGACGUCGACGGAAACCGCGUGGCUAGAGUCCGGAAGAGGAGAGUGGAAUUCCUGGUGUAGCGGUGAAAUGCGCAGAUAUCAGGAAGAACACCAAUGGCGAAGGCAGCUCUCUGGGACGGUACUGACGCUGAGACGCGAAAGCGUGGGGAGCAAACAGG